GAUGAACGCUGGCGGCGUGCCUAAUACAUGCAAGUCGAGCGAACAGACGAGGAGCUUGCUCCUCUGACGUUAGCGGCGGACGGGUGAGUAACACGUGGAUAACCUACCUAUAAGACUGGGAUAACUUCGGGAAACCGGAGCUAAUACCGGAUAAUAUAUUGAACCGCAUGGUUCAAUAGUGAAAGACGGUUUUGCUGUCACUUAUAGAUGGAUCCGCGCCGCAUUAGCUAGUUGGUAAGGUAACGGCUUACCAAGGCAACGAUGCGUAGCCGACCUGAGAGGGUGAUCGGCCACACUGGAACUGAGACACGGUCCAGACUCCUACGGGAGGCAGCAGUAGGGAAUCUUCCGCAAUGGGCGAAAGCCUGACGGAGCAACGCCGCGCGAGUGAUGAAGGUCUUCGGAUCGUAAAACUCUGUUAUUAGGGAAGAACAAAUGUGUAAGUAACUAUGCACGUCUUGACGGUACCUAAUCAGAAAGCCACGGCUAACUACGUG
rnacentral:rRNA from 1 species